CUCAGGCACCUCCCGCCCCACAGUGCCCUGCAGUUGCCAGGCUCUCCAGGGCGGGUCCCGGAGAUGUCCCCCAAAAAAGAAAUAAAGACUCCACUGGAGGAAACAAGUGCCUGCCCAGGCCUAUGACUGUCUGCCCAGGCCUAUGACUGUCUGCCCAGGCCUAUGACUGCGGCAGACUCAUCCGCCCGUGCCUGUGCCUCACCCGUGAGCCAGUGUCUCCCAGUCCACAUAGGUCUGGGCAGCCGCCCAGAGGGCCUCCUGUGAGGAGCUGAGGGUUCAUAAACCUCCCAGAACCAGCCCUGUCCCAUAGGUCCUGGGCGUCUCCUGGUGCCACUCUCAGAGGAGGGCAGCUCCCGCUGUGGGGACACUUGCCACCGUGCUCACUACUGUGUGUCCAUCAGCUUGUGUCACAGAAAGUGCGUGGACGGACGGCCCCGGAGCUGCUCUGCUGUGACCCUGCCUCACCCCCCAUCGCAGAGACCUUCCAGGUCAUCUCCACACUGGCCCCUCAGCCAGUGAACCCUCUCUCCCAUCACCGUCUCUAUCCAGACCCCCACCUGCCCCAUGGCCCCCCAUCUCAUGUCUGUGGCUCGCCAGCUUUUCCCCAGAUCCAGGUCCAGAACCCACAGGCGUAGCCGAUGCAAAAACCUCAGGAACGUGUGUUGUCAAUGUUGGGUGCACCCACAUUGCAUUUACUUAGCGGGGUCAAUUGAGAUGCACAGGGGCCACAUGCAGAAUCCAGAAGUUUCUGGACAAUUUUCAGAAGAAUAGGCUGCCUCUUCCCCACAGCCUCUGGGAAGUAACAGUCAUAGCCCAGCAAUGUCUGGCCUCAACUUACCCAGAACAUUCUGCCCCUGGAAUGCAUGUCUGAAAGAGUGGCCAGAAACGAGUGUGCCAGGCAGGAGGCCAGCCCCAUCUCAGGCUCACAUGCCUUGGGCAGGAGGCCAGCCCCAUCCUGGGUUCACAUGCCUCGGGGACAGGUGGACGUGGCCUGGGGCCCUUGCCCACUUAAGCAUGUUGCCCACCAAGCUUGUCUGAGGCAUCCCAGACAGCGGCAUCCCAGCCCUGUUUUCCAGGACGGGUGGGCACCCCAGUCCACAGCCCUGCCCCAUCCGAACUCCUGCCUCACCGUGUGGCCUUGUGCAUCCCCUUGGCCUGACCCUGGGAACAGUCAAAGCAAGGGGCCCUGCCCUCCCGCCUAGGCCUGGACUCAAGGGAACGGCACUCGGAGACCACAGCAUAUAUCAUAUGCUUUCAAAAUAAUGAGGAUGACUUUCUGCUGACAAUACCACAAGCUACAGAAAGCCUGGAGCUCGCUGACCAGCUUGUUGACCAGAAUAUGGUGCUCCAAGGAUGUGCGGUUGAAUGCCGUGUUCUAAAGUCAUGAGUGACUCUCCAGCCGGUUCCUGUGCCAGGUCGGUCGGCCUUCGUGCACACAGUCCGCCAGCAUCCAGCCAGGCCCUGUUUCCCCUCCGCUCCACCAGCCGAGAACAAGCUCAUCCUGGAGGGAACUCAUCCACUCCUCCCUCCCCAUUAAAGCCCAGUUUAUUCCCCGU